UCCCGUCCUCUCUCCUCCUCUGUCCCCCGAGCCUUAUCCUCUCUCUUUGCAUUUCCUCUUUCUUCUUCCAUCUUCUCCCUUUCACUCCCUCUCAUGGCAAGCUCCUUCCGUCCGCCUGCCCUCCGCCCCCGCGACAUCCAUUCCUUGGCGAGCUCCGUCCGUCCUAGCAUCCACGCACGGCUCCUGCCAUUCUUCCCUAACAGUCGCCAUUGAAUGUGGCUCAGAUCUUGCUCCGUCCGUCCAUGCGCCUUGGUCCUACAAUGUGGUCAUGAUGAUGGCCAUCCGCACCUGCAAUUAAUCUGCUCAUGUCUAGGUAUGCAACGCAUUGUUUACACUCCAUGCUACUAUAUUUGGACCUAUUGGUCACAAAUCUACAGAAAUGUAAUUAAAGAGUGAUUCCUAGGGUGUUAGAUUUAGUCCUCUGCUGCAAACUAAAAUAAUCCUAUUUCGUUCUUUUUGUUUUGGAGUCACAUUAAGUUACGUAUAAUCAUAUCUUCCUAUUGAUUUUUGUCAGUGCAGGUUCCUGUGGCUUCUGUGCUAAUUCAUAUACCUUCUUAGACAGGGCCAGUUGUUAUCUACAGACGUAAACAGGAGGGGGGGACUACUACCUCGCUCAUACCUUCUACAUCAACUCCAUCAUUACUGUCCUAGGAAGGAAAGCUUGAACACCUGCAUCAUCACAAAUACACCAUGUUCAUAAAUGGACCUUCUCCAAUUGCCCAAACGAAUCCUAACAUUACGCAGACUCAGAUCGUGAGCCAAAAGAACUGGUAGUUUACUCCAACAGUCUUCCAGCAGCUGACGUGAUCUACACCCAUGAAGAUGCCCGAUCAAGAUGGUUGGUUACCAAACUGCUGCUGCUGCUGCUUGUAGAUUUUUAUUUUGUUGAUUCUGCUGUUGAUGAGCACUCCUCUUCACCCUCAGCUGACGCAGCUUUUGAUAUAUGCAUAUAUCUCUACGAAUGUAGCACAUGUGCACACGCCCAUAUGUAGGGGAACCUAUCUACCUAUAUGUAAAUAGUCAAACUAUAACCAUCCUA